rnacentral:ncRNA from 1 species
GGCGUCGACCGGCGCACGGGUGAGUAACGCGUAUCCAACCUGCCCACCACUUGGGGAUAACCUUGCGAAAGUAAGACUAAUACCCAAUGAUAUCUCUAGAAGACAUCUGAAAGAGAUUAAAGAUUUAUCGGUGAUGGAUGGGGAUGCGUCUGAUUAGCUUGUUGGCGGGGUAACGGCCCACCAAGGCAACGAUCAGUAGGGGUUCUGAGAGGAAGGUCCCCCACAUUGGAACUGAGACACGGUCCAAACUCCUACGGGAGGCAGCAGUGAGGAAUAUUGGUCAAUGGACGAGAGUCUGAACCAGCCAAGUAGCGUGCAGGAAGACGGCCCUAUGGGUUGUAAACUGCUUUUAUAAGGGAAUAAAGUGAG